GCACGGCUGUCUUCUGAGAGGCUCCACCCAGCAGCUAGCUCAGACAGAUGCAGACAUCCACAGUCAAACAGUAGGUGAAGCUUGGGGACUCUAUGGAAGAACAGGAGAAUCUGGAGUUCUAGGUCUUGACUAGACUGGCUGGCCAAUGAGGAAAUGGAAUCUGCCUGUCAUUCCCUACAUAGAGCUAGAGUCAGAGGCACAAGCCACCAUGCCUGGCUUUUUAUCCUUAGGUCAUGAUCUGCAUGUACGGAGAGUGGCUAAUGGGCUGGAUAGACAAGUCAGCUAACCUAUAAAGGCUAACCUAUAAAGGCUUGGAGCGUAAGGUAAGGAAUGAGGGAUUUGUAGUUGAUGAGGAGUGGAAGUAUGCAUGAUCACACAUGGGCAGCAUAAAGACCCCAGUGCCGCUCCUCUGACACCCUCAACUGGAGUUUGCUUCCCAGUCAACACAAAGACACCCUUGUUGCUUCACGAUGUUCACCACCUUGAGAGUCAGCAUUACCACAGGAUCAAAGCAACUCAGGGAAACAACCAUGCAGAAACUCUUCUGUGUGGUGAUGGUGGUUCCUCUCCUUUCACUGUUUUCAGAUAUUAGGCAUAGUUCUAGAACCAAACUCCACCUUCUCUGCUUCCACAGGUAAGGAUGCCUACAUAGCAAGACACUCUCUUCAUACUGGAAGCUUCUAUAGACUCAUGCUUACAGAUGAGUCUAGCCUGUAGCCAACAGACCACAUCUGGACAAAGAUUUGAUUGCAUGUAUGUGUUGUAACCCCUGAAUUACUGAUAUUAGAGACACUUCAGUGUUGUAUACAGGACGGCAGAUGCAGUGAGACAAUCUAAAGUGACUUCCAGAAACAUGCAGCGUACUAUCGAAGAUGUAGUAUCAAGUUGCAAAGCUUGCCAAUUGAUCAAUACCCACAACACUGCGAAACAACCUAGCUCAUGUCUGUGAGAUAAGAGACUGGAGGCCUACUGGGAAGUUGAUUUUACAGAAAUCAAACCAGGAAAGUACGGCCAGAGGUACUUAUUAGUGUUCGUGGAUACUUUCUCCGGGUGAACAGAAGCCUUUCCAACGAAGACUGAGACUGCAAAGGUAGUGGCUAAGAAGUUGCUGGAAGACAUCCUACCCAGUAGGCCCAGUUCCAGAGCUGUACAAGUUUCAACCUGGAGACUGGGUCUACGUGAGGUUUUGCCAGAAAGCGCUGGAGCCUCGGUGAAAGGGACCCUACGCCAUCCUGCUCACAACUCCAGCAGCUGUAAAGGUGGACAGGAUAGCAGCACUCAUGUGAGACCUCUUGAUCCGUUUCUUCCAGAAGAAGACCAUCAGACUUCACAGCCACCACCGCCGGAAUGGAGGAUCCAAAAUGCCACUGGUUCCUUUAAGUUAAAAUUAACUUGGUCCUAAAUGUACUUUUUACUGGCUGCAUGCACUGUUGUUCCCCAUUCAGAGAUCAAAUACCCGCACCAGCCUUAUGACUUGGACAACUGAGAAUUCUGAAACAGGUUACUGGGCCCAACUGGCUAAUACAAAAAAGCCACUUGGACCCCGUGGUUUCCAGAUUUAACCUUUGAUCUGUGCUGGCUGAUAACUUGUGGCCUGACACCCAAGCAUCCAUACCCUAAGUGUAGAUGG